rnacentral:rRNA from 1 species
CGGCGAGUGAAGCGGCAACAGCUCAAAUUUGAAAUCUGGCCCUCGGGUCCGAGUUGUAAUUUGUAGAGGAUGCUUUUGGCGAGGUGCCUUCCGAGUUCCCUGGAACGGGACGCCUUAGAGGGUGAGAGCCCCGUACGGUUGGACACCAAGCCUCUGUAAAGCUCCUUCAACGAGUCGAGUAGUUUGGGAAUGCUGCUCUAAAUGGGAGGUAAAUUUCUUCUAAAGCUAAAUAUUGGCCAGAGACCGAUAGCGCACAAGUAGAGUGAUCGAAAGAUGAAAAGCACUUUGAAAAGAGGGUUAAAUAGCACGUGAAAUUGUUGAAAGGGAAGCGUUUGCGACCAGACCUUUUCCUGGCGGAUCAUCCGGCGUUCUCGCCGGUGCACUUCGCCAGGUUGAGGCCAGCAUCGGUUCUCGCAGGGGGAUAAAAGUUCGGGGAACGUAGCUCCUCCGGGAGUGUUAUAGCCCCGGGCAUAAUACCCUUGCGGGGACCGAGGACCGCGCUUCGGCAAGGAUGCUGGCAUAAUGGUCGUCAACGACCCGUCUUGAAACACGGACCAAGGAGUCGAACAGUUGUGCGAGUGUUUGGGUGUCAAACCCUCACGCGUAAUGAAAGUGAACGGAGGUGAGAGCCCGCAAGGGCGCAUCAUCGACCGAUCCUGAUGUCUUCGGAUGGAUUUGAGUAAGAGCAUAACUGUUCGGACCCGAAAGAUGGUGAACUAUGCGUGGAUAGGGUGAAGCCAGAGGAAACUCUGGUGGAGGCUCGCAGCGGUUCUGACGUGCAAAUCGAUCGUCAAAUCUGCGCAUGGGGGCGAAAG